rnacentral:rRNA from 1 species
GCAUCCUUCGGGGUGAGUGGCAGACGGGUGAGUAACGCGUGGGAAUCUACCCAUCCCUACGGGAUAGCUCCGGGAAACUGGAGAUAAUACCGUAUACGUCCUCCGGGAGAAAGAUUUAUCGGGGAUGGAUGAGCCCGCGUUUGGAUUAGCUAGUUGGUGGGGUAAUGGCCUACCAAGGCGACGAUCCAUAGCUGGUCUAAGAGGAUGAUCAGCCACAUUG